rnacentral:rRNA from 1 species
AAUAGAUACCCGGGUAGUCCUUGCCGUAAACUAUGUGUACUUGAUGUAGUUGGGCUCAACCCCGACUGUGUCGUAACAAACGCGAUAAGUACACCGCCUGGGGAGUACACUCGCAAGGGUGAAACUCAAAAGAAUUGACGGGGACCCGCACAAGCAGUGGAGUAUGUGGUUUAAUUCGAUGCAACGCGAAGAACCUUACCUAGGCUUGACAUACUUGAGACCGCAUCAGAGAUGAUGCUUUCCCGCAAGGGACUCUUGAACAGGUGCUGCAUGGCUGUCGUCAGCUCGUGCCGUGAGGUGUUGGGUUAAGUCCCGCAACGAGCGCAACCCUUGUCGUUAGUUGCCAGCACGUAAUGGUGGGCACUCUAGCGAGACUGCCUCGGUUAACGAGGAGGAAGGUGAGGAUGACGUCAAGUCCGCAUGGCCCUUAUGCCUAGGGCUACACACGUACUACAAUGGUCGGUACAGAAGGCAGCGAAGCCGCGAGGUGAAGCAAAUCCGGAAAAGCCGGCCUCAGUUCAGAUUGU